rnacentral:rRNA from 1 species
UACGGGAGGCAGCAGUGGGGAAUAUUGCACAAUGGGCGCAAGCCUGAUGCAGCCAUGCCGCGUGUAUGAAGAAGGCCUUCGGGUUGUAAAGUACUUUCAGCGGGGAGGAAGGUGUUGUGGUUAAUAACCGCAGCAAUUGACGUUACCCGCAGAAGAAGCACCGGCUAACUCCGUGCCAGCAGCCGCGGUAAUACGGAGGGUGCAAGCGUUAAUCGGAAUUACUGGGCGUAAAGCGCACGCAGGCGGUCUGUCAAGUCGGAUGUGAAAUCCCCGGGCUCAACCUGGGAACUGCAUUCGAAACUGGCAGGCUAGAGUCUUGUAGAGGGGGUAGAAUUCCAGGUGUAGCGGUGAAAUGCGUAGAGAUCUGGAGGAAUACCGGUGGCGAAGGCGGCCCCUGGACAAAGACUGACGCUCAGGUGCGAAAGCGUGGGGAGCAAACAGGAUUAGAUAACC